CCUCAGGGGUGUGUAGGUUAAAGGGAUCCUCAGGGGUGUGUAGGUUAAGGGGAUCCUCAGGGUGUGUAGGUUAAGGGGAUCCUCAGGGGUGUGUAGGUUAAGGGGAUCCUCAGGGGUGUGUAGGUUAAGGGGAUCCUCAGGGGUGUGUAGGUUAAAGGGAUCCUCAGGGGUGUGUAGGUUAAGGGGAUCCUCAGGGGUGUGUAGGUUAAGGGAAUCCUCAGGGGUGUGUAGGUUAAAGGGAUCCUCAGGGGUGUGUAGCUCUGCUGCUUCCAGUGGGGAUGUGAGGGAAAAGCUUUCUCUUCCUCCAUACCAUUAAGAAGCCAGUAAUGAAGACACUUGUGGAAGCAGCUGAUUAAACCUGUAUCUGAAAUGUGAUGCAGCCAGGAAGAUUGAACUUGCUCUGUUUAAUUGUGUCUGCAGACCCUGACCUGAGUUGAUACAACUUGAGGGAAAGCUGGAUUUCCAUUCAGUCCAAAGAGCACUGAGCACAGUGUAGUGGUUUCAUUAAGUCUGGAUUAUUACUGUAAUCGUGCCAAAAAUUUUGGCUUGGAUGAAAUCAUUCAGCAAAAUAACUUCUUAGUGAUGAGUUCUAGAACACAGUAGAGAAAAUAAAGACUAGCAACCCAAGUGGCUGCUGAUCCGAAGGGAUUAAAUGUUCUCUAACCUUUCAAACUACUUUCUGGUCUUAUUGCUU